rnacentral:lncRNA from 1 species
GCGGAGGAGGCCCAGAGACCGGAGCGCGGAGACCUCAGCCAGCGGCCUACGCCCAGGCCUUUCUCCACCGGAGGACCAGGGAACCGCAGUCUUCAUCACAGAGGUUCUUUUUAAAGGCUCUGUUUUUGUUUUGGGUUUUCUUCAUCUACUAUUGAUCCAAGAUUUAUCCAUUUAUUCAUCAUUGAAUCAAGAAGGGUAUAUCCUGACCUGCUAU